GGCGUAGGGAGCUGGGUGGAGCAGGGCGAAGUCUAGAAAGGAAGGAAGGUGGGGCCGCGGGGCAGAAGCCGUGCUCAGCAGCAGUCCCUGUCGGGACUUGUCAGUGCAGCCUGUGCCAGGGAACUGGCUGGGUCCGGGCCGGAAUGCGCUUGGGGCUGGUGGGCAGCGAGCCCGGGGGUUGCAGCAUGCUGGCCGAGGGAAGUGCCGCGAGAGAGCCGGGGGUGCACCUCGCGGCUCCGGCGGCUGUCCCCCAGGUCGUCAGCGCCCCACUUCCUGCUUUGUUCAACUAAAACGGAGGGAGCGGCCCUCCAGUCCCCCCCCCCCCCCGCAACCUGUUUCCAUGGAUUAGUGCAAGAGCAAAGAAAGCUCAAGUCCGAUUUCACCGGCGGCCAGGGAGCCAAGUGCUGGGAUGACGGCAAGGGCCCCAGUCUGUUCCGCACCGAGGACCUACUUGAUGGAAGAGUUUUGAAAAAGACUGGCGGUAGCAGGUGGUUUCAGGAUGAUGCAAGUGCGUUACACUUACUGAGUGCUUUAAUUUCUAUUAUUAUUACAUUGUAAUAUAUAAUGAGGUAAUUACACAGCUCACCACAGUGCAGUCACUGGGAGCCUUGAGCCUGCUUUCCUACCGCUAGACCGUCCCAUCUGCAGUGACACCGAAGUGUGUUGAGUAUGUCCAGCCCACACUGUAAUCUCAUUUUGGUUGCGGUCACUGCAGAAAACACUGCUUUCCAAAGACAGGACUUUGGAAGAGGAAGUGGGCUGUCCAGUGCUUUUGUGGAAAUCUGGAUAAUCUGUCCUGACAUUAAUCCAGAACAUACGGUGAUGUGAAGUUGUCUCAGAUCUUUUUAUGUCUUUGAACUCAAGCUGCUCCUCUGCCUCAGCCUCCCAAGUGCCAGGAUUACAGAUGUGUGCCACCACUCUGGACAGAAAUUUGAAGAUCCAUUGUGUGUCACUGAAAUGUGCUGAUGGUGGGGUCUUCCUGAAGGAAAUCUCCAGAAUGGCUCUCUGUGCUCAUCACUCUGGCUAGGGCCCUCCCUUAGAAAGCUUUCUCCCCUUUGUGUACAACAGAUGGCCCCUGUGCUCUGCCUGUAUCCUGUUUGCAGGGAAGCUACCACAUUAAUAGGACCCUUGCUGUUUUCUUCUUUUGGUACUGGGGAUCAAACUCAUGACCUUGUGCUUGCCAGGCAAGUACUUGUGCCAUUAAGCUAAAUCCCCAGCUCUUGGUGCUUUCUUUUAAACGAAGCUCUCUUUUUGCUGUAGCCUUAGUCUUCUGCUGUGUCAUCCCUGGGUCUUUGCCCUUUUCCAAGUAGCUCUGCUGUGAGGUCCGUGUUUUACUCACUGUGGCUAUGGUUAGCUGGUAGACUUCCUAGAACUGUGAUGGAGGGCAGAGCACAAUUGGGAAAGUGAUAGAUGCAAGUGCUCAAUUAAAUAAUGGGUGGCCCCUGUGCAGAUUAAAAGAAAUGUUGGGAUAAAAUACAUUUGGAAGAAAA